rnacentral:rRNA from 1 species
CCUACGGGAGGCAGCAGUGAGGAAUAUUGGUCAAUGGACGAGAGUCUGAACCAGCCAAGUAGCGUGAAGGAUGACUGCCCUAUGGGUUGUAAACUUCUUUUAUAAGGGAAUAAAAUGUUCCACGUGUGGCAUUUUGUAUGUACUAUAUGAAUAAGGAUCGGCUAACUCCGUGCCAGCAGCCGCGGUAAUACGGAGGAUCCGAGCGUUAUCCGGAUUUAUUGGGUUUAAAGGGAGCGUAGAUGGAUUGUUAAGUAAGUUGUGAAAGUUUGCGGCUCAACCGUAAAAUUGCAAUUGAUACUGGCAGUCUUGAGUACAGUAGAGGUAGGCGGAAUUCGUGGUGUAGCGGUGAAAUGCUUAGAUAUCACGAAGAACUCCGAUUGCGAAGGCAGCUCACUGGACUGCAACUGACACUGAGGCUCGAAAGUGUGGGUAUCAAACAGGAUUAGAUACCCUAGUAGUC